rnacentral:rRNA from 1 species
AGAGCGAACGCUGGCGGCAGGCCUAACACAUGCAAGUCGAACGGACUCUUCGGAGUUAGUGGCGGACGGGUGAGUAACACGUGGGAACGUGCCUUUUGGUUCGGAAUAGCUCCUGGAAACGGGUGGUAAUGCCGAAUGUGCCCUUCGGGGGAAAGAUUUAUCGCCAUUAGAGCGGCCCGCGUCUGAUUAGCUAGUUGGUGAGGUAAAGGCUCACCAAGGCUACGAUCAGUAGCUGGUCUGAGAGGAUGACCAGCCACAUUGGGACUGAGACACGGCCCGAACUCCUACGGGAGGCAGCAGUGGGGAAUCUUGCGCAAUGGGCGAAAGCCUGACGCAGCCAUGCCGCGUGAAUGAUGAAGGUCUUAGGAUUGUAAAAUUCUUUCACCGGGGACGAUAAUGACGGUACCCGGAGAAGAAGCCCGGCUAACUUCGUGCCAGCAGCCGC